GCCCGGUAGCCAUAGAAAUGGAUCUGACCAUUUGACUCCCGUCAUUAUUAUUAUCUGCCGGAUAAAAGGAGACGAGAUAUACUGUGGUGAUCCUGAUCCCUUCGACCGAGAGGCACCUACCCUGCUGUGGCGCUUUACGGCUGGAGAGGCUUGAGGGGUUACGGACACCGGGGUGCGCAGACCUUCUAUCAUUGACAUCACACUGUCUGGAACAUUGGUAAUAUCAGUACAUUUGUCUUGCCAGUUAGGUAUCUGGUCUGUUAGUAUAUCCUUUGCCUGUAAAGAGAGAAUACAGUAUUCCAGUUAAUUGAAAACUUUUGGCAACCUAUGGAGUAAACAAUUCAACAUUU